rnacentral:rRNA from 1 species
GAUGAACGCUGACAGAAUGCUUAACACAUGCAAGUCUACUUGAAUUUGGGUUUUUUAACUUCGAUUUGGGUGGCGGACGGGUGAGUAACGCGUAAAGAACUUGCCUCACAGUUAGGGACAACAUUUGGAAACGAAUGCUAAUACCUGAUAUUAUGAAUAUAUGGCAUCAUAUAAUUAUGAAAGCUAUAAGCGCUGUGAGAGAGCUUUGCGUCCCAUUAGCUAGUUGGAGAGGUAACGGCUCACCAAGGCUAUGAUGGGUAGCCGGCCUGAGAGGGUGAACGGCCACAAGGGGACUGAGACACGGCCCUUACUCCUACGGGAGGCAGCAGUGGGGAAUAUUGGACAAUGGACCAAGAGUCUGAUCCAGCAAUUCUGUGUGCACGAUGACGUUUUUCGGAAUGUAAAGUGCUUUCAGUUGGGAAGAAAAAAAUGACGGUACCAACAGAAGAAGUGACGGCUAAAUACGUG